rnacentral:rRNA from 1 species
GAUGAACGCUGGCGGCGUGCCUAACACAUGCAAGUCGAACGGAGUCCAGCCUUUAAGACCUUCGGGUCAAAGAGGGGAAGACUGAGUGGCGGACGGGUGAGUAACACGUGGGCAACCUGGCUCAUAGAGGGGGAUAACAGAGAGAAAUUUCUGCUAAUACCGCAUAAGCACACACUGCCGCAUGGCAGAGGGUGAAAAGAGAAUCGCUAUGAGAUGGACCCGCGUCUGAUUAGCCAGUUGGCAGGGUAAGAGCCUACCAAAGCGACGAUCAGUAGCCGAUCUGAGAGGAUGAACGGCCACAUUGGGACUGAGACACGGCCCAAACUCCUACGGGAGGCAGCAGUGGGGGAUAUUGCACAAUAGGGGGAACCCUGAUGCAGCGACGCCGCGUGAGUGAAGAAGUAUUUCGGUAUGUAAAGCUCUAUCAGCAGGGAAGAUAAUGACAGUACCUGAAUAAGAAGCCCCGGCUAACUACGUG